CGCCGGGCCUGGUAACGUGGGCUUGUGACUCAAGUGAGGGCAUGAAGGUGGUUGAAGGUUGGUUUGGCUGGAGAGGUAGGGUGCGCUGGGGUUGAGACACUGGCUCGCCCGUUCCAAGUGGGGAGUUUGAAUCUUGUGAUCCGACCGAAGGGUUGGGUGACGUGGUUCCUAGAGUGGAGGGCACCGCGUGAGGCUGGAUUCACAGAGCAGCGUUCACCUCCCGCUCCCUUCGGUGGAAGGAUAACGUGCUGGUACUCCACGGGCCCAACGACGCCUCCUCAGCCGCUCACAACCCGACAACCACUUUUUCCCUCUUUUUAUUUUUCCUUCAUUCCAGCCAGUGGUGGAACAAUUGACAUUCAGAGUGAAAUAUCAUGGAAGAGAAGGCUUCACCAGAAUCCUAUAGAUUGUUGUGAUGACUUGAAGCAAAGAAGCUCCAAGCAAAUUGCCUCAACGUGGAGCUCUCUUUUCUCUUUCUGCUGUGAUCAAUCACAAUCCACAUGCGAAAUUUCCCAGGUCUGCAUGGGGCUGAAUGUUGGUGGACUGAGAGGUGGGCACUGUGACAAGAAUGGAUGCAAAAGCUUUGGCUACAUUAAGGGGGAAAAAAAAUAAAGCAAGGGCCUAGGAUAUUGCCAUCAUCUGUCACAGCUGCUUAUGGCACCUUCUUCAGAAGGAUCACUUGUUUUUAGCUGAUUGAGGUAACUAUAUGACUCAUCUCUGUAAGCUUUGUGGGAAUGCUGGUUGCUAUCCUUCUUUUAUGUAAUUUCUACUCCAGUUUUGCAAUUGGAGACAAGGCUUCAGAUUAGAAGUAAUGGGAGCUUUUAUGUGAAUUUUGGAUUUGAUGCCAUGGAAAAGCUGAAUUAAUUUUAUAAAGACCCUACUGUGUAGAGAAAGAUAAACUCUACUGUCUAACCAACCUUGUACACUGUACACUGUAAUGUAAUGCUUCAGUAAUCAUGUGUUGUCUCCUGGUCUUACUGUUAUAUCGAGGUCCACUAAUUAUUUCUUAAUUGCUUGAUAUAUGGACAUGGACUGGAACGCCUCGUCCUACUGUCUAGUUACUUAAUGAGGUGAAUAAUUAUUUCUUCCUCAAGAGAGACAAUGUUUUGAGGGAUAUAUAAAAUAAGAAAAGAACUUUCCAGUACAUUAUGCCAAAUGUUGAUUUAGAAAACAAAAGGACUAUUUCAAAAUUGAAUGUAAAUUCACCAGCCUAUUUGACUUCCAUGGGGUAUGCAAAUGCCCUGUUAAUGGAUGGAACAUAUACGUGCUUUUGAUGCAUUUAUGUUGCUGAAGUAGUAAGAUAAUUUGAAUGCUCAUUUGGUAUGUCUACACAUCGUAAUCAGAAACAAGAGAUAAUUCUUGUUCAAACUUCAUGGCUAACAAGUGCUUCUCGACCUACUCUUCUUUCAUUCCUGCACCUAAUGAGUUGAAGAAAAUUUAUUGUAUGGUUUGAAGUGUAUGCAGAGAAGCUUUGUGAGAUCAAAAUAAGGAAUGGCAGGAAGCAAACUUAUUGGAACAUGUUUUUUCCACGAAGAUGAUUUUCACACUGAGAGUUGGUUUUGUGUGCAUGAGUUCACCUCUUGCUUGAUAUUUGAUGGUGAGGUUGGAUCUAAGCAUGUUGAGAGGGUACAAUGUUUGAGAUGGUUCAUGUCAAAGGGCAUUUCAGAGUGUGAGAAUACUCAAAUUUGAAAUGUUUGUUUGGAAUGUGUUGAUAGAUUGAAGGGAUUAUUUGAAAUCCACAAGGGAAAACAAAAAUCAUCCCAUAUACUUUUUCAAGCUUUAUGGAUGAGUCAAUUCCUAUGCAUGUAUAAGAUCCUUCCAGGGUUUGAAAAUGUACCAAUUUUCUGUUAUGGUUCCUGUUUUGUCCCAUUUUCAUAGGAUGAGUUCGUGGAUUUAAAUAUUUUCAAAUGCAAAGUAACCAUGUGGCUUGAAUUCACAGGUUUCCAACUUAGUUGGGGAUGUGGCAGUUCUCUUGCUGAUUUAUCUUCUGGGGCAUGUCAAUGAGUAAAGGGUUGUUUGGUAAGUCUUGUAUGGUAUGGGAUGGAGCCUUCUCUAUCUGACAUCUUUGUUGCUUUGAUCUCUGUUCUAUUGAAGGCAUGGUCUUUUCUGGAGGCAUGAACAAGCAGCUAUAGAUGUCCUGAUGGAAGCUUAUACCCUUGUACUCUCGGGAAGGAAAUAUUCUCUAUCAGGUUAUAUCAAACUCAUUAAGUCCAUUAUCCAUUUUCUUGAGGCAUGAACUGAAUUUUUUUUUCUUUUAAAGCUAAUUUUGGUUGCAAUUCUGUGCAUAGUAUUUGGAACAACCUCCUUGAGAGCUCUUCAUUUAGUUGAAGGCUUCCCUUUGUGGCAUUGCUGCUUUAUGCCUACUAGAAAUAUUUAGGCAUCAUUAAACUAUCAUCUGAAUAGUUUCACUUAGUGUGAUUCAAAAUAUGAUUCUCUUUCUUGUGUUUAUCUGUUCUAUGCAGAAGAGUCUUUGCUCUGUCCUAAAAGAAGGCCAUUCAACCAUUCUUGAGAUGAAACUAGCCAGAAAUUAGGUAUUGGCCAUUUAUAAAAAAACUGAAACAAUUGUCUAUGAAUUAGGUGCAAAGAAAAAAAAAAGCACAAUUGCAAUGCUUUCUUAAAGAGGAAAAAAAAUGUAGCGCGUUCCAAAAUGUGAAAAAAAUCAUAAGGUAAAAUUCCAAUUUCAAUGUUGAGUCCCAACACCUCAAAAAUAGGUCCAUGCUUGAAAGUUGCAGCAUGUUGCGCUAAGAAAUAGAGCAGCAAGAAGGUUUACUUUGAAUUUAUAUGAAAUAUGUUUGCAUAAAUUAAGGACACAGGCUGAGAAACCUCUUGGUUUUUGAAUUCUGUUGAUGAAUUCCUUACACCAAAACCUUUAGAUUGACAUAAGGACCUGCUUAUGCAGUUACUAGAUUUAUAUCUUGCAACCCUUAUGGUCAUCACCACCUAAGAAAGCUUGCCCUGGACUUUUAUAUUUUGAUCUUGUCACCUAAGCUCAGAGAGAAUUGGCUGAAACUGUGACAUCUUAUAGAAGCUAUGCAGGUAAAAUCUUUGCCCUUUCCUCAUCAAACAGUAAGUUGACCUGAAUCUAUUCCAACUGGUUACCAGUUCCAAGUGCCAUCUGUACAUAUCAUGCAGUCGAGAGGGUAAUGACAUGUUUAGCUUGUUAUCUAUGCAAUAUAAUCUAUAUAAACUAUCCAUAAUCGUCACUAAAAGUAAGUUUUAAAGAAGGGCAAAAACUUUGGAUCUAGUGGUGCAACUUGUGUGUGUGUGAAAGCUACAGCCAGUAUGUAUUCCAAGUCCAAUUUAUGUCUUCUAGCUAGUGUUUAAUGCAUAGUGACAAAUACUGCUCAAGAAGGAUGCGGACAGAAGGAGGAAGAGAAGGAAAGCAAGUUAUGAAUGCAAUGACUUUCCAUGAAUUACUUGCAUGAUUUCUAACUUUCACUAUCAAAAUCAAAAUAAAAGAAUAUACAAGGGAUCAAAAUGAGGGGAUUGGAAGAAAUCUGCUAUCUCCCGGCAAGUAGGGAUAUCAUGAGUUGCAUGCCUGCUACCCAGCAUGUCUGCACUCCUAGGGAUUAUUUGCUCCAGAAACUUAAACCAAUAGGAAUAAGUCAAUGCUAUAAAUCAGACAACCUAAUACUUAACACUGUUUAACUUGCGACCUUUCUGUCUACCCCAUGAGCUUCAGCUUUGAUGCUACAUCAAAUUUUCAUUUAUCCCAAAAUAUCAAGUUAUUUAAGAAUAGAUGAUAUCCAACUGAGACACAGCAAUUAAUCAUGUUUUUCUAUUGUCCUUUUUUUCAGAGAAUUUACCCAAAACCUUGGGAGGCUGUUGAGUGUGAUUUGAUCAGGCAAGGAGCAUACUUUUUAUGCGUGUUCAUGUGUUACAAAUGCACAAAUCUUUUCACCAAAAAGUUUGGGAAAACUCAAAGUGCAUAAUCUAAACCAUAGAGUAUAAGUACUAGUUUUUCUGAUCUCAAAAUCUCUAGUAAUUUCUUUGCUGAUAAUAUGAUUUUAGUGCGAUUGUUCAAAAUUCUCACUGCUCACAACCGCCCCGCCCCGCCCCACCCCCCCCCCCGGGUUCCUAAAAAGGAGAGGCUUAUGUAGCUUUGCUUGAAAAGAACUAGAGAAUGUUGGAAAGUUGAUCUACAAAAUAGAGUGGACACCCCCUCUUGCUCAACUUGCUGGGUCACAGUCACCAAUGAAGAAAGUACUGGAUCUGGAUCCACUAUUAACAUGAUUGGGACGAUCACUGCCCAUCAGAGCCAAAAGAUUUGUUACAGCACCUUCAUAGUUUUACUUAGGCUUUUAGCUUGGGAAACAUUAUGUUUCACCUGAGUGUUUUUAGUCCAUUCAAUUCCAUUCAUUUUCUUGGUGCAAUAAAUGCUUUCCAUUGUUAUGCUUUCUUUGUCUGCAAAAGGGUGUAAGAACCCUAUGUGUAUGGCUAUGGAGCCAUUCAAUCAGUUCCAUUAACACCCCCAAAGAGUCUUGAACUCUCAAUAGUAGUCAUCAUUCUCAGUUACCGUCGCCCUUUUAGUACAACAGUUUAGUGAAAGCCAUUGUUUCAUUAUCUCAAUCUUGGUUCUUUGAUAGGGAAGAACCAAGGCAAAGAAGGUUGCCUUUGUUGGGCUAAAGAGGUCUCCAUGAUCUCAACCUUACCUCCAAUGAAUGUUGCAACCAGAUAUUGAUGUGAGCAAAAGGCAAUUUUACAUUGAAAACCUCUUAGAAAAAAAUAACCACCAGAAGCUCUCUCAAAAUCAACAACCAAAGGUGGCUUUCUUCUGUCGUUCCCUCUUAGAUCUGGAUGUGUGCUAUGUGCAGAUGUGGGGCUUUGGGACAUUAUUUGAUUGGUUGCCAUGUGUAAUGAAUUACUAGGGCGUAGAUGGUGACCACGACAACAUGGGCAUUGUCAAAUUGUUUGGACUAUUCAAUCAAGAUUCCUAAUCAAGACUAGAUCAACAGGUCUCAAAACUUUUCUUUUGUGUAAAGAGAAAACUUUGGAUUGAUCUUAAAAUUGUGAGGGCUGCAAUGGUCUGCCUUAGGGUUAAAUGUUUUCUUUCUUUUUCCUCUGUCCCCUAUUGCAACCAAGUGGAGCAUGUGAAUGAAGGAAAAGGUGAGAAAAAUAGGAGAAAGUAAAAGCAAAAAAACCUCCAAAGUUGAAUAGGAAAAGUUGCUUGAUUCCAUUCUGUUGAAUUAGACUGUUCAAAAUGUUGGGAUAGAACUGUCAAAACAAACUCCAUUUCAUUUCAUUUGCAUUCAUUCUGACUGUAAAGUUAUACAUGAUCCAGAUGUGCCAUCCAUUGUUAAACAAGUUACAGGUUCUUCCCUUUAGUUUCUUAAAUGAAUAAACAGUGGUUGUCAAAUAUCAAUGCCCUGGUCUACUCCAAUAUUGAAGCAGAGUCACACACUAACACUGGAAAGUGGAAACACCUUUUAUGCGACAUGGCUUGCUCAUUUGAAGAAUCGGGGGACCAACUCCUAAUGAGACUGUUUCAGAAGUGGGUGAUUUUAGUCAUUCAAAUGCUGUAAAUUGCCCAUUAGAUAAUGAAACUUAAUGCUUCUAAAUAUGAGCCAGAAAAGGGGGUCAGGAUGCAGAGUCAAAUAUUAAACUUAAAACCUUUACAGUUCAGUUUCGAAAUUAACAACUUAAAAUGUUGAAUUAACCCAUAAGGGCCACAACUUAUCUCAUGAACUAAAACUAUAAUUCGGGGUACCCAGAGGAAGUAGAGUUCAUGGGUAGAAAAAGAGAGAAUGAGACUCUUCCAUAUCCCCUGUGUAUCAAUGAGACUCCCUUUAGUGGGGACCCCUCUCUUUAGAAAGAGGUGUUGGCCUGUUGGGUGUUUGAACCUCAACUUUGUCCACACAUUCUCCUUAUUACAUAUUUGAUAGGUAAAAUACUAAUUUCAUGAACGUGUGUGGAGGAAAUGGGAGAGAUAGUUCAGUUUGUCAUGAAAUUCUAUUUGAUAGCAUUUGGAGAAGAAUGAGUCGAUGGUAACAAAGUGGGGUUUUUGGUUACUGAAACAAAUUCAUAUCAUAUGAUAAAAAAUGAAAGAGGGUGGCCUCAUAGGGUGAGAAAAGGCCAAAAAGAAAUAGCGUGAAUGCAGACUUCAUUCAUCUUUCAUCUGUAAAUGGGUGGCUUAUAAUUAGAGAGUCAUUAAACUUAGGCAGAGAGCCACAAAGCUGUUAUGAAAGCAACAUCAGCAAGACCACAGAGACAGAGACAGAGAGAGAUGAUGACAAAUUGCAUUGAUAGAGUCUCUGUCACACACACACAAGAUACACCCAGAAUUUCAGUGGAUAUUAAUCAUCUUGGAUCACGAGCUUGAUUGGUGACUUUCACGUUUUUAACAGACAUCGGUCAGAGCCUCCCUGCCAUUGUCCUUUUUCUAGGAUUGCAGCUCUGCAUGCCCUCCAUGUACUGUACCUAACCCUCUUAUCUCCCUCUCUCUACUUUCCCACCCUUCGUCUUCUUCUUUCUUCCUCUUCCUCUCUUUUUCUCCUUUUUUUUUCCUUUUUUUUUGUCAACUUUGUCAUUCACCUUUACAAUCACCUUCAUCUCUUAAAUUCCUACUAAAAUUUCAACUCAAAUUCAUGCUAUGAGCUGGGCAAGAUAUAAAAAAAGGACGAAAAAAAAUGUCCACUAAAAUUUAAGUGCAUAGAUGAAUGUGAAAACUUCGAACAGAUAGUCCUAUUCCAUUUGUUUCAUGGAUGGCGACACUUGAGCCACAAAUAAGGCUCUUCAUAAACAAUUUUUUUUUCAGUUUUUCAGGUUUAUAAUUUUUUCAUAUGUCACAUUCAAUGGUGGGUCUUCAGGCCCACUGCUUCUACUCAAGCAAUUCUAGUAUGAACCCAUUGCUAUAUUGAUGGCAACACAUAGCUAAACCCCACACAAUUAUUUCUUGAAUUUUCCAUAUAUUACUUGAAUUCUUCUCAAUUAGUAGUAUUGUUUUCUCUAAAUAAAAUAUUCAUCAUUCUCUACACAUAACACAUUGGUUCUUCUGCAGAUGGGUAUAUAGUAUAUUCAUAUACCAAUAUUUAAAAAAUUGUCCUAAAUUGACUGAUUGAAUUAUGUUGAUAGAUAGAAUCUUUUUCCAUUUUAAAUAAAGUUUCUAUCUUGUUUAAAUGUCAAUCUAAUCAUGAUUUGGCUUUCUCCUUAAGUGAGAACAAGAAAAGUUUGUUUUGAGCAUACUCAAUGCAACUAUUAAAGUGAGUCAUCAAGAAGCAUACAUCAAAUUCCAUUUAGGGAAUUACUAUCGUCAUUUCAUCAUCACAUAUCUUUAGAAUCGUCUGAAGGAACAUACUAUCUUAAACCCAUGAGAUAUCAUAGUGUCUGUAUUAAGAAUAUCUAUUGCCACCUACGUUGAUCAACAAUAACCCAAUUCAUAGAGAAUAUGUGACCACCUUGAUCAAUACAUAUUAUCUCUUCUUCGAAUUUCUCAUCGUUUAUAUUUUUCCAUUUCAAUACUUUCUAGUAAAAAAUAAAAAUUAUAUACAAGUAUGGAUGCAUCAACACUUUUUCAGUAGUUUAAUAAAUGUAACUCACAUGCAAAUAAAUUAACACCUCCCAACCAAAAUUUAUAAGAACAUUCAACUACUUAAAACACAUUUCCAAUUAUUCAAUAAUAUCAUAAUCAAUCCAAAAAUAUUAUCUAAGAUUUCCAAAGAAUAUUUGAACACAUAUCAAUUCAUUUUUUUCAACCAUCCAACAUGUAAGUAAUAAUGUGAAAUUAAGAUUAAUACACAUGGACAUAAAUAAAUUAGAAGAAAGAGAGAGAAAUAGACAAUAACACCCGGUUUUAACGUCAAAAAUCUCCUAAGAGAUAAAAAAUCAUGAACCUAUAAAUUAUCAAAUGCAUCUACUAUGAAAAGCAAGGACUUACCUAACUCAAGUCCACCAAUUUUUCAUAGGUUAUUUGACCAACACCUUUUCAUAUGAGCUACAUGUCUUCUUUGUAAGUAUGCUUGGAGUCCACACCACACCAAACUUGAUCUUAGCCUAUUCUUGAAGCUCAAUUAAGAAGAAAAAUGAGUUUUCACCUAAACCCAAACCAUUAAGAACACAAAAAAUGAAUGAAAGAAAUGAAUUAUCCCAUUUUUUAAGAAAAUCUAAUCCAAAUAUUGAUUUGGAAAUCAAAGUAUAGGAAAUUUCUAGAAAACUAAACAAUCCUAGUUUCGAUUGAAAAGAGAGCUCAAAGGGACUAAGAGAGAUAACUGCUGGUGAUAUUCAACCCUAAAAUAGAAAGUUUUGGCUUAAAUAAUGAUCGAAAAAUUAUCCAAGAGUACAUGGAUUGAUCCUACACAAAUCUAGAUACAUGUUGGAAUAAGAUACAAAAAUACUUAAUAAAAACACUAUUGCCCUAGUCUCCCCAAGCUUCUUAAAAAGAAAAAAUAAUCAAUAAUUUGAAAAACUCGAUUAAUUUGAUUUUAUCUUUAAUCUAUAAGCGCUUUGAAUGUUUUAAAGUUUUCCAUUAGACAAGUAGUUUAAGGGAGAAUUUCGAAGAUUCGAGUUAAGAGACAAUUAAGAAUUUUAUCCGAAAUUGUUAACCUAGUUAAAACACUCAUAGGUUUAUUUAAUCCAUUAAAAUAAUAAAAAAAUAUUCAUAUAUCUAGAAAACCCUAUUACACUAUAAAUUUAUUUAUUGCAUGGCAUCCCACUUAUCUAGAAACAAAAUCAAGGUUCGCCUAUACACCAUAUUAAUUGUAGCAAGGUACUUUGAUUUUAUAUUGUAGCCCUAAUUUUUCUAAGAAAUGGAGUUGGAAAUUUUCUUCUAAUUAAAGUUUCAUCAAUCAAACUUAUUCUCAAAUCAACACAACACUUUCACUUAACAUUAUUUCAAUUAACCUUUCAUUUAGGUUGAAUACAAGGGAUGAAAUCCAGUUCCUCUCACUUUCUUAGUUGUUAAAAGAAAAUGAAAUGUUGAGAUUGUAUGUGUAUUUCUCAUGGUUUUAAAAACCGAAUUGGAUCGGUCGGUCAAGAUUCUGGUUCGGUCCAACUAAUUUGAUCGGAAAGUAAUUAAACUGGUUGAAUCGACGAUCUGAUUGGCGAACCAAACAAACCGAUAGGUUCUUUUUGAACCAUUCAAUUCAACAUUUUUUUAUUUUUAUUUUUAUUUUUUUUCCAGCAUCAAAACGACGUUGUUUUGAUAUGUAUAAAAGAUCAUUUUCCUUCCUCCCCUCUCCUCCUCCUCUCUCCCCAAAAACGUUGCAAAGCCCCAUUACUGGCCAUUGGAGUGUCGUCUCAUUGGCAACACUCCCCCCCCCCCCCCCCCCCCUACCCCAAAACACAGUACCCCUUGUGUGCUCGCGUCGACACCUGCUCACCUUCCAUUUUUGUUUUUUAAAUUUAAAUUUUUUGUGUUUUAUAUUUAAUAUCUUAACAUUCAAUUUCUUAAUUUUUUGUUGAUUAUAAUUGUAAUGAUAUAUUUAAUAUUUAUUUAUGUUUUAUUUGUUACACAUUAAAAUUUUAAUUUAUUAAAAUUAUUGAAAAUAUUGGGUUGAUUGAUAUCUAUAGAUAAAAAAUUUUGUGAAAAAACCCAAUAAACAAAGUAUAUAUUAUCAAAAUUUAGAUAGAAUUUAUUAUUUUUUAAAAUUUUAAUAAUAAAAUAUAUAUUUCUGACAUCACUUGACCGCGGUUCGACCAGUAAACUGUGAAAUUGUAACUUUUUCGAUUUAAUAACCGAUCAAAUUCUAAAAACGUUAAUAUUUUAUUGAAGAAAUUCACCCUUAGAUACAAAUUAAAUAUAUAGUAUAAUUUUGGGCUAAGAACAAGAGAUAAACUCCUCAACUCCAUUUCGCUUAACAAUUUUAUAUAGAGCAGAAAAGAAAUUUUAGGAAAAAACAAACAAACAAUCUGAAAUUCCUCCUCAAUGUCUUAAAAAGGGUACAUUGCAUUGAAUCAGUAUCAUCAACUGCUUUUCUCUUUCUGAAAUUUGGUGCAGAGACUGAUACGGAUUGAGGAAGUUGAGAAUCACUGUGGGAAGCUGAAGCUGAUUGAGGUGAGGAGUUGUAGAGGUUGGUAAUAUCAGCAAGAGGCUUCCUGAAUCUUCUCCUGAUAGUUUUGGUGGAGAAUGGGGUGGUUUGCCCUGAAGAGAAAGGAGGGAUGUUCUCUUUGUUUUUGCAUUCACAAAGAGCCAUGGCCACUGUUUCUGAUGUUUGGAGGAGAGAUGAUGAAGUGGGGGUGGAGGGGAUUGAGGUAUUUGUAAAUGGCCAAAUGCAAUGCAAUGGGCUGUAUUUUGGAGGGAUGAUUUGAAGGUUCUCCUAAAUUGAGUUCUUCCACUUGGGUUUGGUCUGGAGAGGGACAAGUAUUUUCAUUGGUGCUUGGAUCUUGGUUUGAAUUUUGGGUUGUAGGUCAAAUUUUCAUUGGUGAGAGGGGCAAGAGGGAAGUUUUGAAUUUUCCCACUUCACAGCCAUUUGAAUUUGGGGUUUUGACUUUUGACUGUGUCCAUAUGAAAAAAAAUAAAAAAUUGGGCGCCAGUGGAGGGAGCCAAAACAUGUUAAAACUUGUUCAUUUGGCUGAACAAUUCCCCAGCUGUCCCACAUCGAAAAACAAUAUGAAAAAUGAAGUGUUUAAAUUGGCUUCAGUUUAGUUCACUGAAACGCCGGGCCAGGUAACGUGGGCUUGUGACUCAAGUGAGGGCAUGACUGUGGUUGAAGAUUGGCUUGGUUGGAGAGGUAGGGUUCGCUGGGUUUUGAGAUUCUGGCUUGCCCGUUCCAAGUGGGGAGUUUGAACCUUGUGUCCCAACCGAAGGGUUGGGGAACGUGGUUCCUAGAGUGGAGGGCACCGCGUGAGGCUGGGCUCACAGAGCAGCGUUCACCUCCCGCUCCCCUCGGUGGAAGGACAACGAGCCGGUACUCCACGGGCCCAACGAUACCUCCUCAGCCGCUCUCAACCCGACAACCACUUUUUACCUCUUUUGUUUUUCUUCAUUCCAGCCAGUGGGUCAUGGGUAAAUGGGGGCCAAAAUCAGUGACUGGGUUUAGUUUCUGAAAAUAGUUGGUGAGCCAUUUGAUUUGCACCCAGAAUAUCCUAUAGAUUUUUUGGAUAUAUUCAUCAAUGUCAUGACACCUUCUUCAGAUUAAAAUUGCAUGUAAAUUUACCAGUCCAUUCGACUUCUGUGGGGCAUGCAAAUGCCCUGUUAAUUCCAUGGAACUCUUCUCAGUAACAAGAGAUAAUUCUAGUCCACUUCAUGCCUACCAACUCUUGUUCAUCUACUCUUCAUUCAUUCAUGCAACUAAUGAGUUGAAGAAAUUUUUUUGUGGGGUUUGAAGUGCAUCCAGAGAAGCUUUGUCAGAUCAAAAUAAGGAAUUGCAGGAAGCAAACCUCUUGGAACAUGUUAUUCCUACAAAGAUGGAUUUUUCUCAGGUUUCAUGUGCAUGAGUUCCCCUCUUGCUUAAUCUUUGAUGGUGAGAUUGGAUCUCAAAGUGCAUUUCAAAGUGUGGGAAUAUUUGAAUUUAAAAUGUUUGUUUGGAAUGUGCUGAUAGAUUGAAGGGGUUAUUUGGAAUCCACAAGGGAACAAAAUCAUCCUUUAUACUUGGACCCUUCUAGGUUUUGAAGAUGAAUCAACUUUCUGCCAUCCUUCUGGUGGCCCAACUUCUAUUAUGAUUCCUGUUUUGUUGCGUUUGGAUUUGAGGCUUUAAAUGUUAUCAAAAGCAAAGUGACCAUUUGGCUUGUAUCCCUAAGUUUCUAACUAAGUUGGGGAUGUGGCAGUUCUCUUGCUGAUUCAUCUUCUGGGGCCUGUCAAUGUGUAAAGGGAUGUUUGGUAAGUCUUGUAUAUGUGACAUGUUUGUUGAUUUGAUCUCUGUUCUAUUGAAGGUAAGGUCUUUUCUGGAGCAUGAAGAAGCAGCUACAGAUGUCCUGACGGAAGCUUACACCCUUGUACCCUUGGGAAGCAAAUGUUCUCUAUCAGGUUAUAUCAAACUCAUUAAACCUGUUAUCCAUUUUCCUUUAGAAGGAAUUUACCAAUUUUCAGUGUUGGUAACUUCUUCACCCUUUUAAUGAUUCCCAUUGAACUGCUUCUUCUUUUAAAGCUAAUUUUGGUUGCAAUUCUGUGCUUAGUAUUUGGAACAGCCUCCUUGAGAGCUCUUCAUUUAGUUGAAGGCUUCCCUUUGUGGUAUUGCUGCUUUGUUUCAUUCAGAAUAUGGUUUAUCUGUUUUAUGGAGAAGAUUUUCCAGCAUUACCAUUUGCACUUUGCUAAAAGAAUACCAUUCAACCAUUGUUGAACUGAAACUAUCCAGAAAUUAGGAAUUGGUCAUUUUUAUAAACCCCGAAACAACAGUUCUCUGAAGUAGGUGCAAAGAAAAAAAAAGAAA
rnacentral:lncRNA from 1 species